AUGCCGCGGUGAAUACGUUCCCGGGCCUUGUACACACCGCCCGUCACACCACGAGAGUUGGCAACACCCGAAGUCGGUGGGGUAACCUUUGGAGCCAGCCGCCGAAGGUGGGGCCAAUGAUUGGGGUGAAGUCGUAACAAGGUAGCCGUAUCGGAAGGUGCGGCUGGAUCACCUCCUUUCU
rnacentral:rRNA from 1 species